AGCAUCUCCGUCACCGGUUCACUAAACCUCGGGUGCCGAUUCUGGCGCCCCCUGACGGCAGACAUGGCGGCUGCGGUGAAUUAGACCAGAAUGGCCCAAGCACUGCCUCGUGGGAGCCUUAGUUCAGGGCUAAAACCUUUUGGCGUUGGAACGCUGUAAAAACUACAUUUCCCAGAAGCCCAAGAGACAGAGACGCGAAAGUCCCGGGGCAUGGCGGGAGAUGGAGUUUGGGGACAGCAGUGGGUUUGUGCUGGCGGAGAAACGAGUCAGAGCAGUUGAACUGCGUGCUCUGGUCUUCCGCUUGCGUGUUCAAGGGAACACGGGAAGGCUACAUUUCCCAACCUUCCUAGGUGAUAUGAUCUCACCAGUGGGGAUGGGGACAGAGGAAUGUGUCACUUCGGCUCCAAGGCAAUUAAGUGUCAGUGUGACUCUUUUCCCCACUCUCCUAACUCCCAACCUCUCUCUCAUCUGAGAACUUUGAUGGAGAUACUGGCGGGAAGCCCCUUGGAUCUGAGUACUGCUGGGGGAGAAGAGCACCCCAGCAUUGUCUACCUCACAUUGCGAUGUAUUGAGAAACCAGCCUUUGUUAUGUUAAGCCACUGAAGUGUGAAGGUUUAUUUGGUACAAUAUGCGGUGGAUUAAAGAUGGCCACACAUUU